GUAGGUGGCAAGCGUUGUCCGGAAUUAUUGGGCGUAAAGCGCGCGCAGGCGGUUCUUUAAGUCUGAUGUGAAAGCCCACGGCUCAACCGUGGAGGGUCAUUGGAAACUGGAGAACUUGAGUACAGAAGAGGAAAGCGGAAUUCCACGUGUAGCGGUGAAAUGCGUAGAGAUGUGGAGGAACACCAGUGGCGAAGGCGGCUUUCUGGUCUGUAACUGACGCUGAGGCGCGAAAGCGUGGGGAGCAAACAGGAUUAGAUACCCUGGUAGUCCACGCCGUAAACGAUGAGUGCUAAGUGUUAGGGGGUUUCCGCCCCCCUUAGUGCUGCAGCUAACGUAUUAAGCACUCCGCCUGGGGAGUACGGCCGCAAGGCUG
rnacentral:rRNA from 1 species